rnacentral:rRNA from 1 species
UUGCGGAGGAUACUGACACUGGGUGUAGCGGGAGGCUUUAAAAAGCAGGCGACCUACCUUGACACCCUUGUGUAUCUACCAUGUUGCUUUGCGGGGCCGACCCGCUUUUGACCCGGGCGCUCGGCCCCACCAGUCUAGUCUCUAGGCCAGGACGCCUGGUUAAGUGCCCGCCAGUAUACAAAACUCCAGCGAUUAUUCUGUGUAGUCCUGAGCAAUCAUUUAAUGAAAUAAAACUUUCAACAACGGAUCUCUUGGUUCUGGCAUCGAUGAAGAACGCAGCGAAAUGCGAUAAGUAAUGUGAAUGGCAGAAUUCAGUGAAUCAUCGAAUCUUUGAACGCACAUGGCGCCCCCUGCAAUACGGGGGGCAUGCCUGUCCGAGCGUCAUUUCAACCCUCAAGUUCUGCUGGUUAUUGGGCGACGUCGGCUGGCGGANGNGCCUGGAAAGACUUCGGCAACGCGUCUCAGCCUCGAGCGUGAGUAUUAAAUAUCUCGCUUUGGAGAAGGGGGGCCUGGCCCGCGGAAAAUUCAACCUUGGGUCACUAUGUUGCCAGGUUGACCUCGGAUCAGGUUAGGAUUACCGCUGAAACUU